GGGGGUGUAGUUCUGUGGUAGAAUGUGUUUAGCAUAUAUGAGGCCCUGAGUUCAAUCCCCAGCACCCCAA
rnacentral:tRNA from 1 species